rnacentral:rRNA from 1 species
GGGUAGCAAUACACCGGCGUACGGGUGCGUAACGCGUAUGGAACCUGCCCUUAUCUGGGGGAUAACUCGGGGAAACUCGAGCUAAUACCGCAUAAGAUAGUAGAAUGGCAUCAUUCAGCUAUUAAAGAUUUAUUGGAUAAGGAUGGCCAUGCGUAAGAUUAGAUAGUUGGCGAGGUAACGGCUCACCAAGUCUACGAUCUUUAGGGGCUCUGAGAGGAGAAUCCCCCACACUGGCACUGAGAUACGGGCCAGACUCCUACGGGAGGCAGCAGUAGGGAAUAUUGGGCAAUGGGCGAAAGCCUGACCCAGCCACGCCGCGUGCAGGAAGACGGCCCUCUGGGUUGUAAACUGCUUUUAACUGGGAAGAAAAGAGGCCUUGCGAGGCAAGUUGACGGUACCAGUUGAAUGAGCCACGGCUAACUACGUGCCAGCAGCCGCGGUAAUACGUAGGUGGCGAGCGUUAUCCGGAUUUAUUGGGUUUAAAGGGAGCGUAGGCGGCUGAUUAAGUCAGCGGUGAAAGGUAGCAGCUUAACUGUUUUACAUGCCGUUGAUACUGGUUAGCUUGAGUUGACAGAAGGCAGAUAGAAUUCCUGAUGUAGCGGUGAAAUGCUUAGAUAUCAGGAGGAAUACCGAUUGCGAAGGCAGUCUGCUGCAGUCACACUGACGCUGAGGCUCGAAGGUGCGGGGAUCAAACAGGAUUAGAUACCCUGGUAGUCCGCACAGUAAACGAUGAUUACUAGAUGUUGGCCAAGCCAGUGUC